rnacentral:lncRNA from 1 species
CUUAUUAGAGAAAAAAAAAUAUUCUAUGGUGUAGUAAAGUAGCAAAUAUAAUAAACAAAAUAAUAAAAAUAACAAAUAUAAUAAACAAAACCAAAACAUAAAAAAAUAAUAAAAAAAUAAUGUUGUCACGAACGUUUUGACCGUUGCAUGAUCAGAGGCGUGACGAGCGUAACGCAUGCUGUCACGGUCGCCACACCCCCAUGACGCCCGUCACGCAUGCUGUCACGAACGUGACAACCUGCUUUCUCGUGAAAUGUUUUUGACCGUUAUCACGACCGUUACCCCCCUUUUCAAUUCACCUUUAUUCCAUUCAUCUCACCUCUUUAUCCCCAUUCAACUCACCUCUCUAUCCACAUUAAUUUUUUUCUCACCCACUCCUCUUCCCAAUUUCAAAACUCUUCCUAUAAAUACCUUCACUACAUUUCUUCCUACACCACAUCAUUCCAUCUUAUACAAAAAA